rnacentral:lncRNA from 1 species
GGAUGUCCCACAGCAUGGAGCAUGAGAAGCAGGAUGCAGCUGGGCUUCCUCUGGUCCUCCUUCCCCGCCCUUUCUCUCUGCUUCCCAGGUGGAUGAAGCCCUCUGAUAAGCAGUCUUGCUUCGUGGAGUCUAGCUGGCUUUGUGGACCAUAGGGCUGUGAGGAAGACUGGACUUGAGCAGCCUCUUCAGAGUGCUCGGUUAAGUACUUCAACACCAGGGACCCUAACUCCAGCCUCUGGGUGGAACCAAGAAACACAAAACUCAGGGGUCCAGGAAGACUGAACCACGCCCUGACAAAUGCUGUCCUUAGAAAUGUACUGUUUUCACAGUGUUUAGAAUAAAC